UCAUACGCUCGUCUCAAAGAUUAAGCCAUGCAUGUGUAAGUAUAAGAUACUUUAUCGAAACUGCGGACGGCUCAUUAUAUCAGUUAUAGUUUAUUUGAUAAUCCCUCACUACUUGGAUAACCGUAGUAAUUCUAGAGCUAAUAUAUGCAUCAAAGCGGAACUCUCGGGAACCGCCGUGUUUAUUAGUAUUAAACCUUCACUCUUCGGAGUUGAUUUGGUGAGUCAUAAUAACCUUUCGAAUUGCAUGUCCUCGUGACGGCAAUGGAUCAUUCAAGUUUCUGCCCUAUCAGCUUGGGAUGGUAGUGUAUUGGACUACCAUGGCUUUAACGGGUAACGAAUUGUUAGGGCAAGAUUUCGGAGAGGGAGCCUGAGAGACGGCUACCACAUCCAGGGAAGGCAGCAGGCGCGUAAAUUACCCAAUCCUGACACAGGGGAGUAGUGACAAUAAAUAACAAUGCC
rnacentral:rRNA from 1 species